rnacentral:rRNA from 1 species
CGGUGAUGCCCAGCUUGCUGGGUGGAUCAGUGGCGAACGGGUGAGUAACACGUGAGUAACCUGCCCCAGACUCCGGGAUAAGCCUUGGAAACGAGGUCUAAUACUGGAUACGAGAUGCCCCUGCAUGGGGAGUGUCUGGAAAGAUUUAUCGGUCUGGGAUGGACUCGCGGCCUAUCAGCUUGUUGGUGGGGUAAUGGCCUACCAAGGCGACGACGGGUAGCCGGCCUGAGAGGGCGACCGGCCACACUGGGACUGAGACACGGCCCAGACUCCUACGGGAGGCAGCAGUGGGGAAUAUUGCACAAUGGGCGAAAGCCUGAUGCAGCGACGCCGCGUGAGGGAUGAAGGCCUUCGGGUUGUAAACCUCUUUCAGCAGGGAAGAAGCGCAAGUGACGGUACCUGCAGAAGAAGCGCCGGCUAACUACGUGCCAGCAGCCGCGGUAAUACGUAGGGCGCAAGCGUUGUCCGGAAUUAUUGGGCGUAAAGAGCUCGUAGGCGGUUUGUCGCGUCUGGUGUGAAAACUCAAGGCUCAACCUUGAGCUUGCAUCGGGUACGGGCAGACUAGAGUGCGGUAGGGGUGACUGGAAUUCCUGGUGUAGCGGUGGAAUGCGCAGAUAUCAGGAGGAACACCGAUGGCGAAGGCAGGUCACUGGGCCGCAACUGACGCUGAGGAGCGAAAGCAUGGGGAGCGAACAGGAUUAGAUACCCUGGUAGUCCAUGCCGUAAACGUUGGGCACUAGGUGUGGGGCUCAUUCCACGAGUUCCGUGCCGCAGCAAACGCAUUAAGUGCCCCGCCUGGGGAGUACGGCCGCAAGGCUAAAACUCAAAGGAAUUGACGGGGGCCCGCACAAGCGGCGGAGCAUGCGGAUUAAUUCGAUGCAACGCGAAGAACCUUACCAAGGCUUGACAUACACCGGAAAC